rnacentral:rRNA from 1 species
AUGCUGGAUAGACCUCUGUUCAAUCUAUUGAAGAAAGGCUCUCCAUUCGUCUGGACGGAUAACACCGAGCAGAGCUUUCAGGUGCUCAAGCAGGGUUUAAUCUCGGCUCCGGUGCUCACACUACCUAAUUUCCAGAAGCCAUUCACAAUCGAGACGGAUGCUUGUGACGUGGGCAUCGGGGCAAUCUUACAGCAAGAGGGGCAUCCAAUUGCUUUCAUGAGCAAAUCGCUUUGUCAGAAAUACCGCGGACUGUCCACAUAUGAGAAGGAGUACCUCGCAAUCAUCCCGGCAGUCGAUCAAUGGCGCCCUUACUUGCAGUCAGCAGAAUUUGUGAUCAAGACUGAUCAAUGCAGCUUGGUGCACUUACAAGAGCAACGGCUAGUCACCCCACGGCAGCAGCGAGCCUUUACUAAACUCCUCGGGUUGCAGUACCGCAUCGUCUAG